rnacentral:rRNA from 1 species
AUACGGAGGGUGCAAGCGUUAAUCGGAAUUACUGGGCGUAAAGAGUACGUAGGCGGCUCGUUAAGUCAGAUGUGAAAGCCCAGGGCUCAACCUUGGAACUGCAUUUGAAACUGGCAAGCUAGAGUAUGGUAGAGGGGGGUAGAAUUUCUGGUGUAGCGGUGAAAUGCGUAGAUAUCAGAAGGAAUACCGGUGGCGAAGGCGGCCCCCUGGCCCAAUACUGACGCUGAGGUACGAAAGCGUGGGUAGCGAACGGGAUUAGAAACCCCAGUAGUCC